rnacentral:misc_RNA from 1 species
GAUGAAGAACGUAGCGAAAUGCGAUACUUGGUGUGAAUUGCAGAAUCCCGUGAACCAUCGAGUCUUUGAACGCAAGUUGCGCCCGAAGCCAUCAGGUUGAGGGCACGUCUGCCUGGGCGUCUCAUAUCGUUGCCCAAUGCCUAUUGCAGUGCAAUAGGAAUUUCUAGGGCGAAUGAUGGCUUCCCGUGAGCGUUGUUGCCUCGCGGUUGGUUGAAAAUCGAGUCCUUGGUAGGGUGUGCCAUGGUAGAUGGUGGUCGAGUUAGAACGAUACCGAUCAUGUGCAUGCUCCCCAAAAUAUGGCCUCUAUGACCCACACGCGUCUUUUGACGCUCAUGACGAGACCUCAGGUCAGGCGGGGCUACCCGCUGAAUUUAAGCAUAUCAAUAAGCGGAGGA